GUCAUUCAUGGAGCAUUUUCUGCAGGAUGGAGUGUGUUAGCACUUCACAACUAUUUUAUCAGUUGGAAACACACACAGGAAUUCCGGUUUGGGAAUGACCAUCAAGUUCCUGGCUACUACAGGAAGGUGUGCAUAAAAAGCACUUCCAGAGUGGGCAGCCUCUACCAGUCCUCUCCAUUCAGCGAGGGAGCACAAGGGAAGUACACAUUUGUAUAUAUUGAUGAAACCAAAAUUGGGAGAUGGCCUAGAUGAUAGGCCUGAAGUCAGUCAAUUGAGUAGAGGUGAGGUGGCAGCUGUAACCACGGAGUCUCAAGACGCUUGGCAUUGUGUUCUAUAUUCUAUGAUGGAAACUACCCUUACCUCUAACCUCAACAUCCAAUGAACCUGGAGGCCUGCAGUAAUUUCAAAGUGGGAUGGGAUUGUUGACUCCUCUAAACCAGACCAAACCUUGGAUUUCGUCCCACAGAAAAACAAGAUCAAGAGUAUCUGCCUGCUUUACGGUCCAUUAUUACUUUUGGUACGCGCUAGGCCAGUCUCAAACUCGUACCGUGAGUAAUAAUGCACUGUGGCUGUCACUGCCAACGAGGGACAGACCACACCACCAUAUCUUACGUUCACUGUUCUCCAUAUUCCUAUGCAUCUCGUUGUUGUAAAGCAAGAAAUGUGAUAUAUUCAUGAAAACAGUGUUGGAAACUCUAAGGCCUUGUGUGGGGAAAGACAGAAUUUUAAUAUAAUCCUUUGUCUACUUUCAUAAACAGAUUAUUCAUUUUACUUAAAUAUUAUUGUUGAGUUGUUUACAUGAAAUAUGUUGAAUUUUCUGUACCUUGUGAUUGUAAGCUAUAUGCGAAUGAAUAAUAAUAAAAAUACUUGAAUUUA